GGGGAAUCUUGCGCAAUGGGCGAAAGCCUGACGCAGCAACGCCGCGUGCGGGAUGAAGGCCUUCGGGUUGUAAACCGCUUUCAGUGGGGACGAAUCCAGACGGUACCCACAGAAGAAGCCCCGGCCAACUACGUGCCAGCAGCCGCGGUAACACGUAGGGGGCGAGCGUUGUCCGGAUUCAUUGGGCGUAAAGAGCUCGUAGGCGGCUCAGCAAGUCGGGUGUGAAAACUCCAGGCUCAACCUGGAGACGCCACUCGAUACUGCUGUGGCUAGAGUCCAGUAGGGGAGCGUGGAAUUCCCGGUGUAGCGGUGAAAUGCGCAGAUAUCGGGAGGAACACCAGCGGCGAAGGCGGCGCUCUGGGCUGGAACUGACGCUGAGGAGCGAAAGCGUGGGGAGCAAAC
rnacentral:rRNA from 1 species